AUUUAAAUCUAAUUAAAUCGCGAUCGAACGGUCCAGAUUUAAUCUUGAUGGACGGUUGACAUUAAAAGGCAAAGGGUAUAAAUAACCCCACCCACACCUGACCACAAAACCCUAGCUACCAGUGUCUCGCCGGAGAAGAAGAACCAGACGCCGGAGGAGCCGGCCGCAGCCAUCCGCCGCCGCACCGGGGAAGUUUUCGACCGCCGAUCGAGGUAAAUUUUCUCUCUCUGGCUCAUUUUUCGAUACUGAGUCCGCCUAUGGCCAAACUGGAGCUAAACCAUCGGCCAAACAGCCAAAAAACCCAGC
rnacentral:lncRNA from 1 species